AGAUCUCUGGAUGGAGCUCGUCCUGGGAUGGAGAUGGAUAUUUUUUCAUCAGGGCGUCGACCUUUGACAGGUAAGCCUGACUCUCUUCUUGUUCUCCCAGGUGGUGGUGCAGCCAAGCCAGGUUCCCGUAGUUCACCACUAACCAGGGACCCUCUUCUGCUCCUCUUGUCAGGCGGAGGGCCUCUGUAGCCUGGUUGAACAAACUCUGGGCGUCUUCAGUGAAUCCCAGCUUGUACUGAAUGUACCCCCGCAGGUUGUAAAUGUGACCCAGCCAGCUGUUUCCCUCCUCGGUGCCGAUGUCCUCCAGCUUGUCUCUGACACGGAAAAGUUUGGACCUGCCAGGGUUCAGGUCCCAGGUGAAGUGGCACUGCAGGGCCUUCAGUUUGGACUCCAGUGUUUGACUCUGAGCAGCACUGAUGGA